GCCGACGUGGUGGAAUUGGUAUACACGCAUGCCUUAGAAGCAUGUUCUCAAAAGGAUUGAGAGUUCGAGUCUCUCCGUCGGCA
rnacentral:tRNA from 1 species